UUAUGUUUUAUAAAAAGUCAUGGAACAAAAGUUGUUGUUUAUGGUGUUAGUAAUAUAGUUCAGGUUGUUAGUAUUUAAAAAAUAACCUUGUAUAUGUUCGGUACAUCAAAUCUUCAGCUAAUUUGACCAAAACUAAUACUUUACAUUAAAUUAGAGGUCGCAAAGUAAUAUAACAGGAAAUACACAUUCUCUUUAAUCUUGCAGCUACACGACACCUGUAAAUGGGCCUACUCUAGAAGCUCCAGCAGAAGACCAAGAAGAUUUCCUCUAUAACGACGUCACGACUAAUAAUCGAGAGCUCAUGAGGGUUCGAGAUGCCACUGUGCAAAAUUCCAUAGUUCCACACACAGUACGAGUUGGACAGGACUCACAUAACCGUAGUCAGACUGAAGAAAACGAAGACAGUACACAUUCGUCCUUUAACGCGAACUGCGCACCGUUUAUUUUCAACGUCAUAAAUAACGUCACGACCGUGCAGCGAAACGAUGUCAGAAUUUAGCUGUUAUCUCUUUUAAUAGGAUUAGGAAACUAGCUCUUUUAUUAAAAACGUAUUAAUUAGUUUUUAAAUUU